UUGCUCUUAUUUCACAGGUGAGGACAGUGGGGCUCAGUCAUCACCUAACUUGCCCGAGUCUACACCUGGGCUGGGAUUAAAAGCCAGGUGUGGCUUAUUUAGAACCUCUUCCCCUAAAGUCAGCCUACUUUGCCCCCAGGGACCCUUGACAAUAUCUAGAGACAUUUUUGGUCAUCUGGACUCAGGAGGAUGCUGCUGGCGUCCGGUGGGUAGAGGUCAGAGAUGCUGUUAAACAUCCUGCAGUGCACAGGACGGCCCCCCACAGAGAACUGACAGUGCCGGGGCUGAGGACCCUGCCUCAACCCUAGGCUGUGAAUAAAAGCAGUAGGGGGAUCUCGGUUUUCGGUUUUUAUAAAUCUCCCCGAAGUCUUAAAAUACCCACCAUGGCACGUCAACCGUGGCUAUCUCUGGGUGGUGGGAACGCCAGUGAGUUUUAUUUUCUUCUUUUGGCAAACUGCAUUUUCUAAAUUAUCUUCGAUGAAUAUGCAUCAGUCUUGUAAUCAAAUAAGUUUCAGCUUUUUAAAGAAGCCCAUGGGCUCCAAGUUGGAGAACGCUUCUGGAUUGCCAUUUCGUUAUCUGGUGCUGAGUUUCAGGAACGUUGGUCAGGGCCAAGGUCUCGCUCUGCUGGUCAGUGGAUGCUCACCCUUGGGCUUCACCUCUCUGAAACUGUUUCCUCGUCGGUGACAUAGAGAUGACAAUCUUUUGGGUCUGUGCCAUGGUAGUCUAUCUGGAUGCCUGACCACGUGCUGGGUGCUGUGGAAUUAAGUGUUUCCCAUACACUAGCUCAGUUCACAAGCCCGUGAGAUUGGACACUGAACCUCAGGAAGGAGAAGCAGCUUGCCCAAGAUCGUGCACAGGGCCCAAGGGGAUCUGGGACACACCAGCUCAAUAACCAACAUCUGGAUGGACUCAGGAAGCUGCCUUCCUUAACCCUCCUAGGCCGGGGAUAAAUGCGAGGCUGGGUCAGACCAGCCUUCCCGCAGAAGCAGAGUGGGGUCGGGCACAGCGGCCUGGAAAAGAGGA
rnacentral:lncRNA from 1 species